GACAGAGGGUGCAAACGUUGUUCGGAAUUACUGGGCGUAAAGCGUGUGUAGGCGGCUUUGCAAGUCGGAUGUGAAAGCCCCGGGCUCAACCCGGGAAGUGCACUCGAUACUGCAGAGCUUGAGUGUGGGAGAGGUUGGUGGAAUUCUCGGUGUAGAGGUGAAAUUCGUAGAUAUCGAGAGGAACACCGGUGGCGAAGGCGGCCUUCUGGACAGUGACUGACUCUGAGACGCGAAAGCGUGGGGAGCAAACAGG
rnacentral:rRNA from 1 species